AAUAGAUACCCCGGUAGUCCACGCCGUAAACGAUGAGUGCUAAGUGUUAGAGGGUUUCCGCCCUUUAGUGCUGCAGCUAACGCAUUAAGCACUCCGCCUGGGGAGUACGGCCGCAAGGCUGAAACUCAAAGGAAUUGACGGGGGCCCGCACAAGCGGUGGAGCAUGUGGUUUAAUUCGAAGCAACGCGAAGAACCUUACCAGGUCUUGACAUCCUCUGCCAACCCUAGAGAUAGGGCAUUCCCCUUCGGGGGACAGAGUGACAGGUGGUGCAUGGUUGUCGUCAGCUCGUGUCGUGAGAUGUUGGGUUAAGUCCCGCAACGAGCGCAACCCUUGAUCUUAGUUGCCAGCAUUCAGUUGGGCACUCUAAGGUGACUGCCGGUGACAAACCGGAGGAAGGUGGGGAUGACGUCAAAUCAUCAUGCCCCUUAUGACCUGGGCUACACACGUGCUACAAUGGAUGGUACAAAGAGCUGCGAACCCGCGAGGGUAAGCGAAUCUCAUAAAGCCAUUCUCAAUUCGGAUUGU
rnacentral:rRNA from 1 species